rfam:Giardia intestinalis strain GS GS_B_0056, whole genome shotgun sequence.
GUCUGUGUAGCUCAGUCGGCAGAGCGAUAGUCUCAUAAGCUAUAGGUCGUGAGUUCAAGCCUCACCACAGGCA